UACGUAGGGUCCGAGCGUUGUCCGGAAUUAUUGGGCGUAAAGAGCUCGUAGGCGGUUUGUCGCGUCUGCUGUGAAAUCCCGAGGCUCAACCUCGGGUCUGCAGUGGGUACGGGCAGACUGGAGUGCGGUAGGGGAGAAUGGAAUUCCUGGUGUAGCGGUGGAAUGCGCAGAUAUCUGGAGGAACACCGGUGGCGAAGGCGGCAUCCUGGACCAACACUGACGCUGAGGAGCGAAAGCCAGGGGAGCAAACGGG
rnacentral:rRNA from 1 species